ensembl:lncRNA
UAGAAUGUAGAAUGUAUAGAAUGUGACUCAUUGGCUCACCAAUACUAUCCAUAGUCCAGAACCUCUUCCUGAAGACAGAGGAUACGAUGAUGAAGGAUCCGUUUUGGCUCAGCCAAUCAGAUGUCUGCAUUUCAAAAGGAGGCAUCACCACCAUCAUCAUCAUCACCAUCAUCAUCAUCACCGUCAUCAUCACAACCAUCACCAUCAUCAUCAUCAUCACCAUCCACCAUCAUCACCAUCAUCAUCGUCACUAUUAUCAUCCCCAGCAUCAAACACCUGCUGUCUCUCGGCCAAUCAGGAGGCCCGCCCACCUGUCCUGGUGUCAGGUGUCUCUCAACCAAUCAGGAGGCCCGCCCACCUGCCUGGUGUCAGGUUUAUCUCGACCAAUCAGGAGGCAGCCGUCCUGUCAGGUACGAAUUAACUAUCAGGCACGUUGGGGACCCUGAGGAGGGGGUGCUUCCGGGACACAGCGCCCAGGGAGCGGAGAAGAAGAGCAGCAGACCGGGAAGCGUAUUUACCAAGC